GGCAGAAAAGUCACCCCGGAAGUAUAUCUCUGCCCCUGAAGUAAAACUCUAUGCACUCGCGUGCACACAUAUAUGCACAUGGUUGUGGAGGUCACAUACUGUCCUUCAGUCACCAUCCACCUUUCCAUUGAAACAGGAUCUUUAACUGGCUUGGAGCUUGCUGAUUAGACUAGGUGUGGUGGCUGGCGAGCCAGCACUGGGAUUAUAACUAUACUCCAGUGAACCAGCUUUGGUUUAUUUUUUUAUUUUUUAUUUUUUUAAUAUGGGUUCUGAGAGCCGAAUUCAGGCCCCUCCACCUACUUGUACUGACUAGGCCAUCUCCCCAGCCCAAUAAAUGCACACGUCCUUAAAACAUUCAACAUGUUUGAUGUUCCAAAAGCUCCUUUCUCAGUUCCUCUCUGUCAGGUGACACACAUUUCUAAUACGUAAUUUCUGAGGCUUGGGAAAAUCAUUGUUACCUUAAGCAUUUAAAAAAUGUAUUUGUUUUUUUGGGGUUUUUUUUUUUUUGAUACUUUGCUAUUUGCUACCAACCAAGAUACCAAGAAGCUGGCUUACAACAUUGUCUUUUAAUAUCUGAUGAUCUUAAAAUGUCGUUGUCUGAAAAUCAUCUUUAAAAAGAAUGAGAAGAAAUGUUGCUGAAGCUCUACACCGUCUACAGGAUGAUGAUAACUUACAGAAUAAAAACUCUAACAUUUACUGAGAGUGCUUACAACUCAUGGGGUACUGUGGUGGUUCGAAUGAGCAUGGCCCUCUAGGCUCACAUAUUUGAAUGCUUGGUCCCUAGUUAGUGGAACUGUUUGAGAAGGAUUAGAGGGUGUGUCUUUGUUGGAGAAGGUAUUUCAGUAGAGUUGGAAUUAGAGACUUCAAAAGCCCAAGCAAGGCCCAGUCUCUCUCUCUCCCUCUCCCUCUCCCUCCCUCUCUCUCUCUCUCUCUCUCUCUCUCUCUUUCUCUCUCUCUCUCUCCCUGCCUAUUGCCUGCAGAUCAAGAUGUAAAGCUCUCAAUUAGUGCUUUAGCACCAUGCCUGCCUACUCCUGCCAUGAUGAUAAUGAAUUAACCUUCUAAAACUGUAAGCCAACCCCCAAUUAAAUGUUUCCUUUUAU
rnacentral:lncRNA from 1 species